rnacentral:sRNA from 1 species
GUAAAUAAAGAUCUACGAAAUCAUCAGUUUAUCGGGUGGUCAAUCCCCAAUUCAAUCAAAAUAUUAUUUUCUCUCUCUCCAUAAACAGGAUAGUAUUUUUGAUAUGAUGACUCGGUAUGCGACAUGAUCAUUUCAGUUGUCUUUGUUUGGAUAUCACAUUAGCUGAUUGUAAGAUCAGUAUCAAGACCCGGCUUGCCGGGUUUUUU